UGGCUGUCUUUUUAUUAUUCUCCCAGGUGGCGGUUGUGCUUUACGUACGUGGGUACACUGAUUCAUACACACACGACUGGGGGGGGGUAACGGACGGGAUUGGAUAGAGAAACCAGAAACCCCGCCUCCAGGCCGCACCAAAUAUCUGCUCCCUCCCCUACUCGGUCUGCACCCAGGCCGCCCAUGCUCAGAGGCAGCCAGACAGACAGGAAGCACCACAGCAGCGGAGCUUGGGUGUAGAGCCCGCUGGUGCUGGGCAGCAGAUCCUGACUCCAAUGCCUCCUCAUCUCCCGAGCCGAGACAGAUCAGCCUCCGCCUCCAGCUCAGGGACCUGCGGCAGUGUGGUGCAAUGAAGGGGCAUGCAGCAGUACUGUCAGCGCAGUACUAGCAGGAGGAGGCGGUCCAGCCAAUCCAGCUCCUCUCACCUUUUCUUCCUAUCUCUACCGCUGUUGCCCAAUGUCACGAUCCCACAAAAACCAGAAGAGCGGACCUGCUGCUGCUGUUGCUGAAAGGAGGACCCGUUGCUACCGCCCGAGGGUGUUGAGCGCGAGCCAUAAAACUGCUCCCAGACCCGGCUUAGCUUCUGAAGAGCCAUGGCGUGACCUAUUCUAGCACUAAUAUGUUCCUCAGCACUCUACAAUCAGCAGUAAUUAUUUCAGCACAUCGGGUCCUGUCACAGUGGUGGAGCUUAAAAUAUAAUUUCACUAUCACCAGAGGCAGCAAACACCAAAGUCAUUCAUCAUUUCGUAUAUAUCUGGACGAUAGGAGGAAACAAAUGGAGAACUUGGGAACUCUACCUAGAUACACCCUGGAUGAAAUUUUACCCAUUGUUUGCCCUUUUACCGAACAUAUGGGAGUAUUGCUGGUAGGGGAGUCGGAAGCUAUCUAUCAUAGAAAAUAAUGGCAGAUCAGAAGUGAACCAAUGAGAGGUUACCUCUAGUCACUGCUGCUUUGUAAAUAGGGACAAGGAAGCCUUAUACUUCGCUUAUUAUACAAAGGAAGUGACUCUGAAUUGAAGUUAAACAAAAAAGAGGAACUGAUGUAUUUGCAUACAACCGAAGAAGGUUAAACCUCAUGGCUUACCAUCUGUUUGUGUUUAGCCUAUAGCUGCCAAACCAGUGGGUCAAUCUGUGUAUUUAAGGUACAUAUGGCCUGGAAAGCCUAAGCCUCUUUGUUGUGAUUUCCCAACCUACUCACCCCUUUUAAUUGUUUUGGAUUUUUUUGAAGUUCUGGUGUUAUCUAUUUUGGUAAGGGAAAGAACAGCAAGCCAACAGUUCUGGUGCAUUACUGGAAAUUUUAGGUGCACUAUCCUUUGUUGAUCGGUAGUUGGCUGUAACACUCUAACAGGGGCAGCGUCACCAACCCUACAGGUGGGUAGUAAAUGUAGAAGGCUGAGUUGGAUACCUUUGUUGUAUAGUGUUGGCUUCCGGCACCCUAGGCAGUAUCCACCUGCAAUGCAUAUCAUAUUUUCCUACUUUUUUUGCAACAUUAUAAAAUCCAAGUCUAAAAGCAACAAUCUGUGAAUGGAGAUGUCACCGAUAAGAUCAGGGACAGGCGGAAGAGUAUCUACUUUCAGUACAGCUUCUAUCCUCUAUUCUCAAAGACGUAGUCAUCUGUUAGUGAAUUACAAUAAAUAAACAUUUUAAAAUGUGUGCCUGUCAGUAAUACAAAGUAGUGGUCAGUAAAAACAAAUCGCACUCCUGUCAGUAAAAUAAUGCAUACAGAGGUCUAAAUAGACUGGUUUGUUAGGUUGUGUACAGUUGAAAAAGCAACUUGUGCAAGCUCUGGUUGACAUGUACAAUGAGAUGUCAGCUAUAAUCUUGGUAAUAUCUGAGAGAAGAAUCAAGCGUCCAGCAUAAAUAUUCAAAACAUUUUCAUUACAGAAUAUUGCCUAACAUUGGCUCGGCUGUAUGAUAAUCAUGGAAAGUAAACAGGAUACAUGUCAUGUGUUUUAACUUAACACAGAGUGUGUUUGGCAGAGAGAGAAUAAUCAAAUAUGUUUGAUGUGUGUUUAUUUUCUAAAUAUAUCCCUGGACACUGGAAAUCGCACAAUUAGAUGACUGAGAAAGAUUGGGAACUGUCUAUCGCUGCCAAAGUCAUAUAAACAAUGUAAA